GCCGCCUUAGCUCAGUGGUAGAGCAACGCUUUUGUAAAGCGAAGGUCCUCGGUUCAAAUCCGAGAGGCGGCUCCA
rnacentral:tRNA from 2 species